AGAGGGUAGCUGAUUCAGCCAGCCGCAGUGAGAGAGGAGGAGAGGCUGUAUUCCUCACGGUGCCCUCCCCAUGGGGCCAGGCUUUGAAUAUGGAUGCUUUAGCUUAUGAUGACAUCACACACAAGAUACAUUUUGGAGAUUACUUCAUGCAUGACAGAAUUAUCAACAUGAGAUCAUUUCUGCACGGCUCCUGCACUAUAAAAUUUAGCACUACAUCACUGCCAGAGGAGUGCUCUUGAUGCUCUGCCCCUCCCAGGAGCACAAGGACGGCAUUUCUGACAAGCCUCUUUUUGAGAGUGGAGGGGCUCCUUAUAUGCUCUGCCUCCUGGGCAGCUGCAUAUGGGUCUCUCAGAAUCAGGCUGAAGGCAACGAGAAUGCUGGAGCUGAAGAGACUGGUCCCCAGGCUAAGAGGGAAAAAUAUAAAAAGACGGCAUAUAAAAGACUGUGACCAACAUGCAAUAUCCAGUGGUAUGAGAAACUGCUUAAUCUAGAUGUUGCCCAGUCUAAUAGGAUUGAGAAUUUAGACUGCAUGUUUAUAUUUUCUUUUCUUUUGGUAACCACUCUCACUUUUGUCUAUCACUUAGAUGUUAAGUGAUUAUAUCUUUU